CCUACGGGUGGCAGCAGUGAGGAAUAUUGGUCAAUGGGCGAGAGCCUGAACCAGCCAAGUCGCGUGAAGGAUGACGGCCCUACGGGUUGUACACUUCUUUUGUCAGGGCGCCAUUGAGUCCACGUGUGGGCUUAGCGCGAGUAACUGAAGAACAAGCAUCGGCUAACUCCGUGCCAGCAGCCGCGGUAAUACGGAGCAUGCGAGCGGUAUCCGGAUUUAUUGGGUUUACAGGGUGCGUAGGCGGAAUAUCAAGUCAGCGGUAAAAAGUCGGGGCUAAACCCCGUCGUGCCGUUGAAACUGAUGUUCUUGAUGGGGCGAGAAGUAUGCGGAAGGCGUGGUGUAGCGGUGAAAUGCAUAGAUAUCACGCAGAACUCCGAUUGCGAAGGCAGCAUACCGGCGCCCAACUGACGCUGAAGCACGAAAGCGUGGGUAUCGAACAGGAUUAGAUACCCUUGUAGUC
rnacentral:rRNA from 1 species